UAGGAUGAGUGUGCCAAGGUUGAGAUCCCUGACUGAAGUUACAGAUGGCUGUGAGUCAUCUGCGUAGCUGCUGGAGUAGCAAUAAGAGCCCUUCAUCACUGGGCUCUCUAUCCCCAGACCUUAUUCCUGAGGAAAAAUAAUUCUGAGUGUUCAGUGAGUUCCUAAAGUGUUUGCCAAGCCAUUUCAACUUGACAGGACACAGGCUCUCAUCUUGACCUGCGCUUUCGUGACCUGUCAAUCAAAGCGCAUGUGUAUGAAGUGAAGAUCUUUGCUUGCAGUUUCAAAGCCAGUUUUCAAGUCAUGAAGAUAAAUGCUUGGCGCACCUCUUGCAAUUUGCUGGUGAGUUAUGAUCUCCAUAGGUGGAUGCUGCCGGCCUACCAACAGCAGGCUGUGUGUGAUCUUUGAAACGGUUAUUUCCACAAGAAAGCAUCUUCCACAUUACCUUCUGGAUUGCUGCUUUAAAAAACUCGAAGUCAUCUUUGAGAGAGUUGGCUAGAAUUUGAAGGCACAGAACGAUGCAGCAUGUGCUUUCUGUCAGGAUUGCACAACUGAACAGCAGAAGUUUGUGGUAGUGAUGAAGAGCAUGAGUCUCAGAGUCUCUCAUUAGGAAAAACUAGAGAGCCGAAUGGGAGAAAUGCCAAUGUUUGGAGUGUUUCAGAUAAAGCUAUAAAGUGCAGACAUUUCUCUGAAGUUUAUCUGCGUUCAUCUGAACAACCCAAGUCUAGAGAUCAGCUUGCAGAUCUACCACAGUAAUUUCUCUGGCAAGACUUCCAGUGUCUCCCUGUUCCUGACUCUUUCAUUGGAUCUUACAACCUUGGCUUUGUUUUGUCUUAUCCCUGUAAUAAAAGGAACAUGAUGGCACAGUUAAAAGAUAUAUUCAAUGGAAACAAAUACCAAGAUUUUUCCCCUGUAGCAAU
rnacentral:lncRNA from 1 species